AUAUUGAAAGUUCACCCGCAACGCCGAGUCUGAGAGAAUAUCCGUACUCUCAUUUGAUUUGCAGACGGUGGGAUGAUGAGCGCGAGAGAUGAGGAAUCAGAGAACUACGGAGAUUAUUCGGCGCUGCGCACACAUUUCCUUCGCCGUCUCUGGUAAUGCUUCUCUCAACGCUUCUUCUCUAUUUGCCUGUUCUUAGACGCAUUUGAAUUAGCCUUCUUUAGGAAUUACUGUAAGUUUCAGUCAGAUGCAAGCCAUAAGAAUUCAUCUGAUAUGGUGAUUUAGCCUGUAUAAGACUUGCGGUUAGUAUCAUUUUUCUCAGCCUCCGCAGGAGUGAAUUAGAAAAGGAAAAACGUGGUAGAAUAGGGAAAGAUCUGGUCGGAUACUAUUUUUCUAUGUUGUUCAGUGAUAUAAUGGCUGAUUUAGUGGCAAUAGUUUCAAGUUUAAGCUUAAAUUUGAACCUGAUCAUGUGAUGUGUGGAACGCCAACUUGGAUUGGCAAGGGAAUCACUUGCAUUGCAUUUGCUUCAAGCUGAACGGAAAUUAUGACCGAUUUCGUUCUACCUGACUCCUGCACAGAUUAAUCACGUCCUUUACGAACAAGACGCUUCCUCCAUAUGGAUAAUUUUCAAAUUUUCAAAUAGUUUUGGUAAUGAUUCUUGUCAUCUAUGUAUGUACUGUCUUUUUAACUUGAUGAAAAUCAUUGUAUGGCUGAUUGCCUCAGAAUAACAUUUGCAUUUAUGAUCUCAGGAAGAUAGGUUAAGAACAUUAAAGCACCGAUCAAGAACAGACCGACAAGUUUACAUAUAUUUUCAAAUUUCAUGCCUUAGUUUAGUGCUCAGACGAUUCUCAAAGCACAGAAACUUUAGUUCAUAUGUGGAGUAACUUCUAAACCAUUAAUAACGUUUGCUUCUAAUGUCACUGUACAACAAUCUUUAUGUUAUUAGUUGUAUGUGCACACCUUGCUUUUUAGGAUGCUUAUUAUGAAAUUUUCACCAAGGACAGGAUGCUCUAAGAGCUCUGUGGUAUGCAGCUUAUCCUGAUCAAGAGCGUCAGGCGUGGUAUCAGAUCAAUGGAAAGAAAUUGGAUGGCAGUGAAGAAAUCCAUCGACUGAUUUUAGGUUGUUAAUUUGCUACAUGAGUUGAGGGCUCCUUUCAUUGCUCUGAAAAGCUUUUACCUAAUCCGAAGGAUCUGGAUUUAUCUCUUUGGAGAAUUUGCUGUUCUUAAGAUCCUAAACUUCAUUUGAUACCUCUCAUAAAUUUUCAGAUUCUUUUCACCUGAAUGGGCCAACAAAUUUAUGAAAUUAAGUUCAAAACUCCCAAUAGAUGACCGAGUAUAGCAUGCUAUUACGCCUUUACUAAUCCUUGUUGCCUUUUUUAUGGUUUCAGACAUCUUUCCAACGUCUGUUAAGGAAACAAGGAAGAAAACCAGCUGCUUAGGAAUACCACUUUGCUUUUGCUGGUGUAAAUAUCACAUUUAUGAUCAUGCAAAUGCUCGAUCUAGAUGGUUGUGAGUUGAAAAUCCAUUUCUGCGUAGUGACAGUUCACCAAUGGAGCAUCAUUGCUUAAUAUUUUCUAACAAACCAAGGACUUCUAUCAGAUCAGUGUUCCUUCAGAUGUUGUCAGGUACAUAUCUAAACUUAAUCCAGGAACAUAUCAAAUAUGAAGUUGUGCAUGAAUGCAAGAAACACAAUUUUCUGAUAACAGAGAAUAAUUUCAUGUUGGAAUGCCUAAGCUACGUGAUGUUCUUUGUAUCAUUACAAAUUUAUCAGUACAGGUAGGUGAUUUAAUGUUGUGGCAUUGUUCAUGUAGAUACUAUUAUGGAUUUUAGUACUGGGAAAUAGGAUCUGAAGAAAUUAGUUUUAUAAUUGCUUCUACAUUUCACUUCCCCUAACGAUCACAAGUUCAUUCUUCAGCACAAGAAUGGACCAAUAUUUUCCUAUUGUUGAGAAGUUUGAUUCAAAUCUGAAGAUUUCUUGCUUAAUUUUCUAUGGUUAACAAUUAUUUUUUUUUGCGAACAUAAAUAUCUCAUUGGUUAAA